rnacentral:rRNA from 1 species
UACGGGGGGGGCAAGCGUUGUUCGGAAUGACUGGGCGUAAAGGGCUCGUAGGCGGCCAACUAAGUCGGACGUGAAAUCCCCAGGCUCAACCUGGGAACUGCGUCCGAUACUGGAUGGCUUGAAUCCGGGAGAGGGAUGCAGAAUUCCAGGUGUAGCGGUGAAAUGCGUAGAUAUCUGGAGGAAUACCGGUGGCGAAGGCGGCAUCCUGGACCGGCAUUGACGCUGAGGAGCGAAAGCCAGGGGAGCAAACGGG